rnacentral:misc_RNA from 1 species
GGGAUUUCCGGUGAUCCAUUCACCGGCAUUUGCAUUUCAAAUGUGACGAUAAGGAUGGCUGUGAAGGCAAAGAAGGUGCCUUGGACUUGCACUGACAUUGAGGGGAUCACGAGCAGUGUGACUCCUCCGCCGUGCGGCUUGUUGCCAGAUCAGGGUCCAGAGAAAAUCGGAAUGUGUGAUUUUCCUUCAGAAAGUCUACCUAUAGAUACAGUUGAGCUCA